rnacentral:rRNA from 1 species
CGUCUUGAAACACGGACCAAGGAGUCUAGCGUGUGCGCGAGUCAUUGGGUGUAAAACCUAAAGGCGUAAUGAAAGUGUCAGAGGGGGCCCCGCCCCCUCAGUGGGAGGAUGAGCUCCCGGCCUUCCGGCCGGUGCUCCGCACUCCCGGGGCGUUUCAUUCUCAUUGCGAGUCGAGACGCACCAGGAGCGCACACGCUGGUACCCGAAAGAUGGUGAACUAUGCCUGGCCAGGACGAAGCCAGGGGAAACCCUGGUGGAGGUCCGAAGCGAUUCUGACGUGCAAAUCGAUCGUCUGAGCUGGGUAUAGGGGCGAAAGACCAAUCGAACCAUCUAGUAGCUGGUUCCCUCCGAAGUUUCCCUCAGGAUAGC